ensembl:lncRNA
GGGACUCGGAGGCCGGUGCUGUGGGGCUGCUUCUGCGGGUGACAGUGUUAAUACAUACUAUUGCCAUCCAAAUGAAGGUGCCAGUCCCUGCUGAGGAUGCUUCCAGAGCUGGUGUGGAUGUUCUUGACUACUCACUGCAGAUUUCCAACCCACUGCACAGUGCUCGGGGUGGUGCCACUCCCAGCCGCCUUCUCCCUUCCCCGGAUCCUGUUUGAAAGCAUCCCUGUCAUAGGAAGGAGAUGCUCUCCAUUGAGCUAAGGAGGGUUGUCAGCAGCCACUGGUUGUGAACACAGAGAGUGAACCAUCAGGCCCUGAGAGAGAAGAAAGUGCUGCACAGUCUCCACGCUCAUGCUCUGGCCAAGAGAAGAGUACCAUUGCUCACCAGGAGAAUGGUGUCCCCCAAGCAGCAAGAUUGAGAUUGAAAGCAAAGGGCCGGGAUGAGAUGAGUCACCCAUCCUGCACCAUUUAGGCUGGGCACACCCCUCUGAUGGCUGAACAUCCUCAGCAACUCCUACGCUGAGCAGGUAGAUGUGUCCACCAGGACCUCUUGUUCUGAAAGAGGCUCAAAGCACAACAAUAACAAUCUUGUGAUGACCGGGGCAGUGCUCACCAUCACCUAAUUGCAGCAAGAAGGAAAGACAUGGGCGAUGCAGUGGUAUUAAUGAAGUACCAUCAGCACACGGAGCACUAGGAGCAUCAUUUUGGCAUGAGCAUCCAAGACACAUGAGUGCACGGGAGGGCGGCAGGCAUCUCGCUCACCUGGCAGGGCUACUGCCAAAACCCACAGGUCUAUCUGUGGGGAUGGUCUAUCCAUGGGCACAGCCUAUCUUUCAGUGACAUAUGGAACAAUUAAUGGACUUCCAGCUAAAAAAUUGGCACUGGCUGCAGACAAAUGUGUUUUUCCAGUCAUUAUCAUGUUUGCACUUGGAUGUAAUCCAAAGUGUGUAAACCUUCCUGGGGAUAUUAAUUGGCUUUUUAUUGCCUGUCCCUCAGUAUGGCGGGAGACUCGAGGCUGAUGCUGUUUGGCUUUUCAUAGUCUUGCUUGGUCUCAUAAUCUCAUGUGAAAAUUAUCUGGCAGAAGUUCUGCAAGUCAGAAUAGCAAAAGUAUAAUUAAUUCCCUGUGUGAAAUGAAAACAGCCGAUUUUCCACAGCGUCAGCUUGAACAUCAACAAGUCAUGGAAGCAAUAUGCAAAGAGCAGAUGAAAUUUGCACACAGAUAGCAAAUCUACUGAAUUUUUAUGGGGCAGCAAUGUUUCACAUGUAGCUGGAUAAAAAUGUCAAUGGAAUUCGGAAGCACUUCUCAUUCCCUCUAUGUAUUCAGCUGAAAAUCUGAAACAGCCUAUGAAGAGAGUCUCUGAUCAGUAUCUUCAUACAAGAAAUUCAUUGAGAAAAUAUACUCGUGUGAUGUUAUUUUUUUUUCUAGACACUACCAUUUUGCAGACAGGUCCUGUAUAGAUAGCAUGGAAUGGAAAUUAUUUUUCUCUAACUGAGGAUAGAGAGGUCCAAUAAUGUGAUGUGGAGAAGAUGUGUUUCCAAAGGAAAACCUGACUUGUUCACACACUGGGGAAGUCAGGUUGCAUUGCUGCUCGUAAUGAGCGGUGUUGAAAAGCACCUUUCAUGUCUCCAUCUGGUUGUUUUACUACAGGCAUCGUGUGCUGGCUGCUGAGACCCGGGGAAGUCAAUGUAAGAGUCUUUGAAGCAGAAACCCCAGCCUGAUGGCAGCACGUGGGGAAAUUAUCAACUGCAGAGACCACUCCUGGGAGUAACGCCAGGAACCAGGAUGAGAAAACGAGAAGGGGGAGAAAAAAGCAGCCCCAUAUCCCUCUGUCAUGGGGAUUAUAUGGGCCACGAGUCCUGAGAAACUCCAUUCUGG